rnacentral:SRP_RNA from 2 species
UGGUCCUCUCGCAAUAAAUAGUGGUGAACCCCGCCAGGCCCGGAAGGGAGCAACGGUAACUAGGACUUUAUGUGCCGGGAUGUGGCU